UACGGAGGGGACUAGCGUUGUUCGGAAUUACUAGGCGUAAAGCGCACGUAGGCGGAUUUGUAAGUCAGGGGUGAAAUCCCGGGGGCUCAACCUCGGAACUGCCUUUGAUACUGCAAAUCUCGAGUCCGGAAGAGGUGAGUGGAAUUCCUAGUGUAGAGGUGAAAUUCGUAGAUAUUAGGAAGAACACCAGUGGCGAAGGCGGCUCACUGGUCCGGUACUGACGCUGAGGUGCGAAAGCGUGGGGAGCAAACAGG
rnacentral:rRNA from 1 species